AAACCAACAGGGAUUGCCCCAGUAGCGGCGAGUGAAGCGGCAAGAGCUCAGAUUUGAAAUCGUGUUUCGGCACGAGUUGUAGAGUGUAGGCGGGAGUCUCUGUGGAGCGCGGUGUCCAAGUCCCUUGGAACAGGGUGCCUGAGAGGGUGAGAGCCCCGUAGGGUGCUGCGCGAAGCUUUUGAGGCCCUGCUGACGAGUCGAGUUGUUUGGGAAUGCAGCUCCAAGCGGGUGGUAAAUUCCAUCUAAGGCUAAAUAUUGGCGAGAGACCGAUAGCGAACAAGUACUGUGAAGGAAAGAUGAAAAGCACUUUGAAAAGAGAGUGAAACAGCACGUGAAAUUGUUGAAAGGGAAGGGUAUUGGGCUCGACAUGGGGGGUGCGCACCGCUGUCUCUUGUAGGCGGCGCUCUGGGCGCCCUCUGGGCCAGCAUCGGUUCCUGCUGCGGGAGAAGGGGCUCCGGAAAGUGGCUCUUCGGAGUGUUAUAGCCGGGGCCAGAUGCCGCGUGUGGGGACCGAGGACUGCGGCUUCUGUCUCGGAUGCUGGCAUAACGGCGCAAUACCGC
rnacentral:rRNA from 3 species